UACGUGAGGGGCGAACGUUGUUCGGUGUCACUGGGCUUAAAGGGUGCGUAGGUGGUUGCGUAAGUAACGUGUGAAAUCCCUCGGCUUACCCGGGGAAUUGCGCGUUAUACUGCGCGACUUGAGGAUUUCAGGGGAAUGGGGAACUCCAGGUGUAGCGGUGAAAUGCGCAGAUAUCUGGGGGAAGGCCGGCGGCGAAGGCGCGAUUCUGGGAAAUUCCUGACACUGAGGCACGGAAAGCGUGGGGAGCAAACAGG
rnacentral:rRNA from 1 species